UGCCUCAGCCUCCUGAGUAGCUGGGAUUACAGGUAAUGAAUUUCCCCAGUCCAACUUAUUGAAUAAUCAUUGUCCUGAAGUAGUUAAUGGAUUUGAGUUACAGCUCGGCAAAUUCCACAAAGAAAAUAAAACAGCACAAGGUCCCCACAGAGCGACGGGAGGCAGGAAAGGGGAAGUCCAUGCCACCAGAGGAAUAGUUUCAUUGAACGCUUGAUCUUUGAGCCGAACUCAGAAGGAGCCACCCCUGUAAAGGUCUAUAGGCUGAUUAAACUUGAUGGGUUCUGGAGAUGCCGAGGAAGAGAGGCAGCAUCACCUACUUGCCUGGACUCUAGAUGGGCAGCUGAUCAUCUUGGACAGACUGCUGGAUGCUGUACCCAGGGUGGUCACUCCCAGACACCAUAGAAAAUGAUCUUCAUGGCUGCUGUAUGGAAUGUUGAUCACAAAAGAGCGA
rnacentral:lncRNA from 1 species